CAUCGAUGCAGGGCCCAACGGGCAGGAUCUGGCCUACCGCGUGGAGAAGAACGGAGGAUUCGUGAAUGCUGCCACUGGGCAGAAGUCGGAUCUGCUGAUCGAAAUUCCGAAUGGGCCGAGGAGCGAUGCUGCUCAGGCGGUGAAGAAGAUGAAGAUUGAAGAAAUUGAAGAUGAUGAUGAGAUGUAUGAGUAAAUGCCUCUGAAGUCUUCGAGAGGGCUGUAGAUUCUCC
rnacentral:lncRNA from 1 species